UGGUCAUCCUGUCAUCAACUUUGUUGAAUUGGGAUAGACUGCUGGAUUUGGGUCCAAAGGAGGGAGGCUGGCUCAUGGAGAGGUGAAGUGACUCAUCCCAGGAUCCACAGGGAGUCAGAUAAGUUAACUCCAAACAACUGAGAGGGGGGCAACGUCCCUUGUCCUG